rnacentral:rRNA from 1 species
CUUCUUUAUCACCGAGUGCUUGCACUCACCGAUAAAGAGUUGAGUGGCGAACGGGUGAGUAACACGUGGGCAACCUGCCCAAAAGAGGGGGAUAACACUUGGAAACAGGUGCUAAUACCGCAUAACCAUAGUCACCGCAUGGUAACUAUGUAAAAGGUGGCUAUGCUACCGCUUUUGGAUGGGCCCGCGACGCAUUAGCUAGUUGGUGGGGUAAAGGCUUACCAAGGCAAUGAUGCGUAGCCGAACUGAGAGGUUGAUCGGCCACAUUGGGACUGAGACACGGCCCAAACUCCUACGGGAGGCAGCAGUAGGGAAUCUUCCACAAUGGGCGAAAGCCUGAUGGAGCAACGCCGCGUGGGUGAAGAAGGUCUUCGGAUCGUAAAACCCUGUUGUUAGAGAAGAAAGUGCGUGAGAGUAACUGUUCACGUUUCGACGGUAUCUAACCAGAAAGCCACGGCUAACUACGUGCCAGCAGCCGCGGUAAUACGUAGGUGGCAAGCGUUAUCCGGAUUUAUUGGGCGUAAAGAGAACGCAGGCGGUCUUUUAAGUCUGAUGUGAAAGCCUUCGGCUUAACCGGAGUAGUGCAUUGGAAACUGGGAGACUUGAGUGCAGAAGAGGAGAGUGGAACUCCAUGUGUAGCGGUGAAAUGCGUAGAUAUAUGGAAGAACACCAGUGGCGAAAGCGGCUCUCUGGUCUGUAACUGACGCUGAGGUUCGAAAGCGUGGGUAG